GUCUAUGAUUUCUUUUUCUCUUUAAUAGAAGAGAAAAUUACACAAAAAUAAGGGGAUGAAUUCUGGUGGUUGUUGGAUUAGUGGGUGUGUUUAUGUGGUUAUUUUAAUAAUCACUUCCCUACAUGUAAGUUUUUGGAAGUCUUUAAAGCGAAUAUUCUUCUGUUCUGAAAAUUAAUAGAUAUUUUCCUUUAUUAGAAUAUCUUAAUUCCUGUUGACUAGGAAAACGGUUUCCCUCAAAAUUCCUAUAUAUGAGACCAAAAUGCCAGAACAUGAGGAAUGUGAGUUUCAAGAAAAUAUUUUUCCUAAAAUGAACUCAGACUAACUUUCUUUAGCUAUGCAAAUAUGUUUUGUUAAAUGAUGCAUUUGCUAAUUCUCUUCGGAGAUGGAUGCAUGUGUGUUUCUUAUUCUUUGGGCAGGGACACGUGCUGAUUUUCA
rnacentral:misc_RNA from 1 species